rnacentral:rRNA from 1 species
UACGUAGGGUGCAAGCGUUGUCCGGAAUUAUUGGGCGUAAAGCGCGCGCAGGCGGUUCUUUUAAGUCUGAUGUGAAAGCCCCCGGCUCAACCGGGGAGGGUCAUUGGAAACUGGGGAACUUGAGUGCAGAAGAGAAGAGCGGAAUUCCACGUGUAGCGGUGAAAUGCGUAGAGAUGUGGAGGAACACCAGUGGCGAAGGCGGCUCUUUGGUCUGUAACUGACGCUGAGGCGCGAAAGCGUGGGGAGCAAACAGG